rnacentral:rRNA from 1 species
CAGUAGCCGCGGGAAUACAGAGGGUGCAAGCGUUAAUCGGAAUUACUGGGCGUAAAGCGCGCGUAGGUGGUUUGUUAAGUUGGAUGUGAAAUCCCCGGGCUCAACCUGGGAACUGCAUCCAAAACUGGCAGGCUAGAGUAGGGCAGAGGGUGGUGGAAUUUCCUGUGUAGCGGUGAAAUGCGUAGAUAUAGGAAGGAACACCAGUGGCGAAGGCGACCACCUGGGCUCAUACUGACACUGAGGUGCGAAAGCGUGGGGAGCAAACAGGAUUAGAUACCCCGGUAGUCCCUGUCUCUUAUAC